rnacentral:rRNA from 1 species
GUGGGGAAUAUUGGGCAAUGGGCGAAAGCCUGACCCAGCAACGCCGCGUGAGGGAAGAAGGUUUUCGGAUCGUAAACCUCUGUCCUUAGUGAAGAGAAAGAGACGGUAGCUAAGGAGGAAGCCCCGGCUAACUACGUGCCAGCAGCCGCGGUAAUACGUAGGGGGCGAGCGUUGUCCGGAAUGAUUGGGCGUAAAGGGCGCGUAGGCGGCCUGUUAAGUCCGGAGUGAAAUUCCUGCUUUCAAGGUAGGAAGUGCUUUGGAAACUGGCGGGCUGGAGGGCAGGAGAGGUUAGCGGAAUUCCCGGUGUAGCGGUGAAAUGCGUAGAGAUCGGGAGGAACACCAGUGGCGAAGGCGGCUAACUGGACUGUAACUGACGCUGAGGCGCGAAAGUGUGGGGAGCAAACAGGAUUAGAAACCCGGGUAGUCC